GUGUCAGCCGCCGCGGUAAUACGGAGGGUGCAAGCGUUGUUCGGAAUCACUGGGCGUAAAGCGCGUGUAGGCGGCCUCCUCAGUCUGGUGUGAAAGCCCGGGGCUCACCCCCGGAAGUGCAUUGGAUACUGGGAGGCUGGAGUACCGAAGAGGAGGGUGGAAUUCCUGGUGUAGCGGUGAAAUGCGUAGAUAUCAGGAGGAACACCGGUGGCGAAGGCGGCCCUCUGGUCGGAUACUGACGCUGAGACGCGAAAGCGUGGGGAGCAAACAGGAUUAGAAACCCGGGUAGUCC
rnacentral:rRNA from 1 species